GUGGCGUGCGGGUAGCCUACAAUGCAGUCGACGGGAUUGAGAGCUUGCUCUCAUGAGAGUGGCGCACGGGUGAGUAACGCGUAUGCAACCUACCUUUAACUGAGGGAUAGCCCAUAGAAAUGUGGAUUAAUACCUCAUAGUUCUUUUGAUCCGCAUGGAUUAAAAGAUAAAGCUCCGGCGGUUAAAGAUGGGCAUGCGUGACAUUAGCUAGUUGGUAAGGUAACGGCUUACCAAGGCUACGAUGUCUAGGGGUUCUGAGAGGAUGAUCCCCCACACUGGUACUGAGACACGGACCAGACUCCUACGGGAGGCAGCAGUGAGGAAUAUUGGUCAAUGGGCGCAAGCCUGAACCAGCCAUCCCGCGUGCAGGAUGAAGGCCCUAUGGGUCGUAAACUGCUUUUAUACACCAAGAAAAACACCCACGUGUGGGUGCCCGACGGUAGUGUAUGAAUAAGCAUCGGCUAACUCCGUGCCAGCAGCCGCGGUAAUACGGAGGAUGCAAGCGUUAUCCGGAUUCAUUGGGUUUAAAGGGUGCGUAGGCGGCUUUUUAAGUCAGUGGUGAAAUCUUGCCGCUUAACGGUAAAAUUGCCAUUGAUACUGAUAAGCUUGAGUACAAUUGAGGUAAGCGGAAUGUGUAGUGUAGCGGUGAAAUGCUUAGAUAUUACACAGAACACCGAUUGCGAAGGCAGCUUACUAAACUGUUACUGACGCUGAUGCACGAAAGCGUGGGGAGCGAACAGGAUUAGAUACCCUGGUAGUCCACGCCGUAAACGAUGAUCACUCGCUGUAUGCGAUACACAGUAUGCGGCCAAGCGAAAGCAUUAAGUGAUCCACCUGGGGAGUACGAUCGCAAGGUUGAAACUCAAAGGAAUUGACGGGGGCCCGCACAAGCGGAGGAACAUGUGGUUUAAUUCGAUGAUACGCGAGGAACCUUACCUGGGCUUAAAUGGGGAACGACAGCUGCCGAAAGGUGGCCUUCUUCGGACGUUCUUCAAGGUGCUGCAUGGUUGUCG
rnacentral:rRNA from 1 species